rnacentral:rRNA from 1 species
AGGAAGGUAGUGUAGUUAACACCUGCACUAUUUGACGUUACCUACAGAAGAAGCACCGGCUAACUCCGUGCCAGCAGCCGCGGUAAUACGGAGGGUGCGAGCGUUAAUCGGAAUUACUGGGCGUAAAGCGCAUGCAGGCGGCCUGUUAAGUCAGAUGUGAAAGCCCGGGGCUUAACCUCGGAAUUGCAUUUGAAACUGGCAGGCUAGAGUCUUGUAGAGGGGGGUAGGAAUUUCAGGUGUAGCGGUGAAAUGCGUAGAGAUCUGAAGGAAUACCAGUGGCGAAGGCGGCCCCCUCGGACAAAGACUGACGCUCAGAUGCGAAAGCGUGGGGAGCAAACAGGAUUAGAUACCCUGGUAG